rnacentral:SRP_RNA from 1 species
GCCAAGCAUGGUGGUACAUACUUGUCACCCCUCAUACUUGGGGGCCUGAGGCUGGUGGAUCACUAGAGCUUGGGAGUUCUGAGCUAUAGUGGGCUAAGCCAAUCGGGUGUCCCCAUCAAGUCUGGCACCAAUAUGGUGGGUCCCUGGGAGACAGGACCACCAGGCUACCUAAGGAAGGGUGAACCAGACCCAGGUGGAAAAAUGGAGCAGGUCAAGGCUUUUGUGACUAUUAGGAUGGGGAUUAGCUCAUGAGUGGUUGCUGCCCUUCCAGAUUGGGCACAAAAAGGAGACCCAGGGUCA